UGUGGGAGCGGGCUUGCUCGCGAUGCAGGCGACUCGGUUUGCCUGAUUGAUCCCAUUGAUGCCAUCGCGAGCAAGCCCGCUCCCACU
rnacentral:misc_RNA from 1 species